rnacentral:lncRNA from 1 species
CACACACACACACUCCCAUAAGUGACUGAGACUCGCCCCCUCAGACGCACUGCACAGAUCCCAGGGGAUUUGCGUCUCUCCGGCAGCCGGGCUCUCUGGGGCCAUGGGGGGCCCUGGGGCAGAACACGGGGUGCUGGUAGCGGCACUGCUGACAAUCCUGGCUUCUGCUCUGCUGAUCCCAGAGACCUUCUCCCUGCGCUGUCACAGCCACAGCUCCGUCCUGCUCCGCGACCGGGGGGGUAAACGCCUCGACAGCAUCAUCACCCCCAAUGGCACCGAGUCCUGCGCCCCGGACCACAGCACCUGUAUGGAAGCUGCCAUCACCCUCAGCGCAGGGGGCAUGUCUGUGACUCUGAUCCAAAGGGGGUGCAGAGCUGGACACCCCAAGGGAGGGACCGAACCCCCCGCUGCGCCCAGCAGAUUCCUCCACAUCCAAGUCGAUGUCCACUACUGCCAGUCGGACCAGUGCAAUGCCAUGGGACUGGGGCUGGGGAGCCCCAGCCAGGGCACAGCUCCGGCCCCGAGCGGCCCCACCCAGUGCUACGCUGGCCUGAGCCUCAGCCCCCAGCCCCACACUCUGGAGCAGGUGACGUGUGACGGUGACAACGCCCGCUGUUACCACGGCAACGGCACCCUCACAGCAGGGAAGCUCGUGGUGCCCAUCUUCGUGUGGAGCUGCCAGGCCCCAUCCUGCGCCGUGCCCCCCAUCCGCCACGUCGGUCCCCUGCAGCUCAGCCAGGCCGGCGCCUGCUGCACCGGCAGCUACUGCAACGGGCAGAGAGCCCUGGCCCAGGUCUCCGUCCACCACAAAAUCUCCUCCGUUCCCGUCAGCUACAAUCCUCUCGCCUACGCCAUGGCCAGGAAAGACCACAAGCAGCCCGGGCGCAGCCACGGCACGGCGCCCACGGAGCCGCGUGACCCAGACGACCACACGGAGACAGACUAUCCGGACAGAGACGUCACCAGCUCCUACGACCGCACGGAGACAGACUAUCCGGACCGAGACGUCAACGGCUACAACAGCACGGAGCUACCCAACCCCCGCUACAAGGGGGACCUGCCCCCCAGCACCCGCCCCCGCUCCCACCCCACCGAGCCUGGCAAGAAAAUCGGCUACCCCAAAUCCACCGUCCGCCCCCCCCACAAGCAACCCAAUCCCGGGGCCCACGGCUCCCAGGCACCCGGCCUACACCUCUGCCCUCUGCUGGUGGUGCUGGGAAUAGCCUGCCUGGGGCUGUGAUGGGGGGCUGGGGGCCAGGACGCCUGAGUUCUAUCCCCAGCUCUGGGAGAGGAGUGGGGUCUAGUGGGUUGGAGCAGGGGACUGGGAGUCAGGACUCCUGGGUUCUCUCCUCAGUUCUUAGUAGCUAUGAGGAAGUCACUCCCCCUCCCCACCACAUUACAUGCCUCAGUUUCCCCACAUUUAAAGGGAGGGCUCCCAAUGAUGGGGGGGUCGUGCCCCAUUUUCCUGAAUUGCUGCUGCUGCUUUCAGUCCACAUUAACCCUUUGUGGGGCCCCCUGUCCUGCGCUUCCCCCACACACACACACACAAACCCCCUAUCCUGUUUUUAAUAAAGUCUCUUACUCACAAACCCUUGCA